rnacentral:rRNA from 1 species
UGCCAGACUCCUACGGGAGGCAGCAGUGAGGAAUAUUGGUCAAUGGGCGGGAGCCUGAACCAGCCAAGUCGCGUGAGGGACGACGGUCCUAUGGAUUGUAAACCUCUUUUGUCGGGGAACAAAGGCGUCCACGGGUGGGCGGAUGAGUGUACCCGAAGAAAAAGCAUCGGCUAACUACGUGCCAGCAGCCGCGGUAAUACGUAGGGGGCAAGCGUUAUCCGGAUUUACUGGGUGUAAAGGGAGCGUAGACGGCAGCGCAAGUCUGAAGUGAAAUGCCGGGGCUUAACCCCGGAACUGCUUUGGAAACUGUGCAGCUAGAGUGCAGGAGAGGUAAGUGGAAUUCCUAGUGUAGCGGUGAAAUGCGUAGAUAUUAGGAGGAACACCAGUGGCGAAGGCGGCUUACUGGACUGUAACUGACGUUGAGGCUCGAAAGCGUGGGGAGCAAACAGGAUUAGAUACCCUAGUAA